GGCCGUCAAAAUUAAAAGUAGAAAACUAAAAGAAAAAAAAAGAGAGAAAAAGGGUGAAGAACUGACGAUAGUGAGAAUCAUCUUAAGCCAAAUGCGUUAGCUGUUGUUUGCGUCGCGCAUUUUCCACUGUUUCAAACUCCGCUGGAAAUUGCAAAAUAUGAACCUUUGCGGCGCUCUGAACUCAUCAUUGAAUAGUUUUGCGCCAAAACCCUCUUGCAUUUCUCCUCCUUCAAAUCGUUUACUUAUUCGAAAUGAUAGGCGCCCGAAAUUCCUGUUUCUUGGGCGGUUCCAAUAUGCUACAACACUCAGAAUCAGUAUUUGCAAAGCUUCUUCCUCAAACUCGAGCUCCAAUCGGCCAGAACUGGAAAGCGACUCCUCGCAACAGCUAUUCGAGAGUUUGAAGGAAGUGGAGAAAGAACGUAUGAACAAAUUGGAAGAAUUUGAAAGGAAGGCGAAUGCCCAAUUGGAGAGGCAGCUCAUGAUGGCAUCAGAGUGGAGCAGGGCACUUUUGACAAUGAAGGGAAAACUGAAAGGGACGGAGUGGGAUCCUGUGACUUCUCAUUCCAUAGACUUCAGUGACUUCAAGAGACUUCUUGAUUCGAACAAUGUUCGAUUCAUGGAGUACUCUAAUUAUGGGCAGACAGUCUCAGUGAUUCUACCUUACAAAAAGGAAGGGAAAACUGAAAGCUCAGUAGGUGACAUAAAAAAGGAUAUCGUUUUUCGGCGCCAUGUUGUUGAACGUAUGCCAAUCGACUGCUGGAAUGAUGUUUGGAGAAAGUUGCAUCAGCAGCUUGUUAAUGUUGAUGUCCUCGAUGUGAACAAUGUUCCUGCAGAAGUCUAUUCAAGUGUUGCCACUGCAGUUGUGUGGGGAAUGAGGCUAGCUCUUGCUGUUGGUCUGUAUAUCUGGAUUGAUAAUAUGAUGAGACCGAUAUAUGCAAAGUUAAUACCUUGUGAUCUUGGCUCUCCUCCUAAAAAAACAACAUUGCAGCCACUCAAGCGGGAAGCACUUGGCUCAUUAGGGAAGAGUCGGGCAAAAUUCAUAUCGGCUGAAGAAAAAACAGGUGUUACAUUUGAUGACUUUGCCGGCCAAGAGUAUAUCAAGAGAGAGCUACAAGAGAUAGUAAGAAUACUGAAAAAUGACGAGGACUUCCAAGAUAAAGGUAUCUAUUGUCCAAAAGGUGUGCUCCUUCAUGGACCUCCUGGUACUGGUAAAACACUUCUUGCAAAAGCUAUAGCUGGUGAGGCAGGCCUUCCAUUUUUUGCAGCUAAUGGUACAGAUUUUGUUGAGAUGUUUGUUGGCGUGGCUGCUUCUCGUGUUAAGGAUCUUUUUGCUAGUGCCAGAUCAUUUUCCCCUUCCAUAAUUUUCAUUGAUGAGAUAGAUGCAAUUGGCAGCAAACGUGGAGGACCUGAUAUUGGAGGGGGUGGUGCUGAAAGGGAACAAGGACUGCUUCAAAUACUGACAGAAAUGGAUGGUUUUAAAGAAUCAACGUCUCAGGUAUUAAUUAUUGGUGCAACAAAUAGACUGGACAUUCUUGAUCCUGCUCUUCUGAGAAAAGGGCGCUUUGACAAGAUAAUCCGUGUUGGAUUACCAUCAAAAGAUGGAAGAUUUGCCAUUUUGAGGGUGCAUGCUCGAAAUAAAUAUUUUCGUUCGGAGGAAGAGAAGGAGACUCUACUUCAGGAAAUUGCAGAUCUUACAGAAGAUUUUACUGGAGCUGAAUUGCAAAAUAUACUGAAUGAAGCUGGGAUUUUGACUGCUAGAAAGGACUUGGAUUACAUCGGACGGGAAGAACUUCUUGAGGCCUUGAAGCGACAAAAAGGCACUUUUGAGACGGGUCAGGAGGACCGUACCGAUGUCCCCGAAGAGCUAAAACUGAGAUUAGCAUAUCGAGAGGCAGCUGUUGCUGUUCUUGCAUGUUACAUUCCAGAUCCAUAUCGUCCUUUUGCUGAUACGGAUAUUAAUUCCAUACAGAGUCAGCCAAAUAUGCGUUAUGAAGAGACAUCAGGCAGGGUAUUUCUGCGAAAGGCAGAUUAUGUGGAUGCUAUAAUACGCUCAUGUGCUCCCAGAGUAAUUGAAGAAGAGGUAUUUGGAAUUGAUAAUUUAUGCUGGAUUUCCGCAAAAGCCACAUUAGAAGCUUCCAGACGUGCUGAGUUCUUGAUUUUGCAAACUGGAAUGACGGCUUUUGGGAAGGCCUUCUACAGAUAUCAACAUGAUCUUGUGCCUAAUCUAGCUGCUAAACUUGAAGCACUUAGAGAAGAAUACAUCCGUUUUGCUGUUGAGAAAUGCUCGACUGCAUUAAGAGAAAACCGUCCUGCUGUGGAGAAGAUAACAGAUGUCCUACUUGAGAAGGGAGAGAUAAAAGCCGAUGAAAUUUGGAAAAUUUACAGCAAUUCACCUCGAUUGCCUCAGCCUGCUGUGAGGCAAUUGGAUGAAUAUGGAGCCCUUAUACAUGCCGGACGGUGGGGAGUUCAUGGUGUGUCGCUUCCGGGAAGGGUAACUUUUGCCCCUGGAAAUGUGGGAUUCGCAACUUUUGGUGCACCUCGUCCCCUGGAGACUCAAAUCAUUAGUGAUGAGACAUGGAAGUUAAUAGAUGGAAUAUGGGAUGAAAGGGUUGAGGAAAUAAGGAACGAAGCCUCUAUAGAAAUCGAAGAAGAGAAAGAGAGGCCAGAGCUUUUGAUGGCCAGCCACUUCCUAUAAGACUAAAAUUCUAUUUUUUCAGAUCUGCGGUGUGGGACUAGUUAGAGAAACUUAUCGUAUAACGUUCAAUCCCAAUUCAGAUAAUGUUGAAAGCUGCAGAUUUGCUGUGAGAUAUCUUUGGUGAAGGAGAUAUGUGGCUUGACUUUUUUCAGUUUAGAUUAGGGAAUUUUGGAAAAUACAGCUUAGAUGAGAAAAUUAAAAUUAUGUGAUGAAGAAGCAUAACUGUCGUUAAGCAAGAGUUUAACAUGAUCCAACAUGAAUGUAGAAGAAAUCAUUGUCUUGUAGAUAUGACAUGGAGGAUCAAAAUUAUAUAUAUUGUACUCUCAUUAAUUGAUCAAA